CGAAGCCUGACGGAGCAAUACCGCGUGAGGGAAGAAGGCUUUUGGGUUGUAAACCUCUUUUGUCAGGGAAGAAGAAUUGACGGUACCUGAAGAAAAAGCAUCGGCUAACUCCGUGCCAGCAGCCGCGGUAAUACGGAGGAUGCAAGCGUUAUCCGGAAUCAUUGGGCGUAAAGGGUCCGCAGGUGGCGAAUAAAGUCUGCUGUUAAAGACCGGGGCUAAACUCCGGAAAGGCAGUGGGAACUGAUUAGCUAGAGUACGGUAGGGGUAGAGGGAAUUCCCAGUGUAGCGGUGAAAUGCGUAGAUAUUGGGAAGAACACCGGUGGCGAAAGCGCUCGACUAGGCCGAAACUGACACUGAGGGACGAAAGCUAGGGUAGCGAAAGGGAUUAGAUACCCCUGUAGUCUUAGCUGUAAACGAUGGAUACUAGGCGUAGCUUGUAUCGACCCGAGCUGUGCCGAAGCUAACGCGAUAAGUAUCCCGCCUGGGGAGUACGCACGCAAGUGUGAAACUCAAAGGAAUUGACGGGGGCCCGCACAAGCGGUGGAGUAUGUGGUUUAAUUCGAUGCAACGCGAAGAACCUUACCAGGGCUUGACAUGUCGCGAAUCUGGCGGAAACGUUAGAGUGCCUUAGGGAACGCGAACACAGGUGGUGCAUGGCUGUCGUCAGCUCGUGUCGUGAGAUGUUGGGUUAAGUCCCGCAACGAGCGCAACCCUCGUCCUUAGUUGCCAAUAUUAAGUUAGGCACUCUAGGGAGACUGCCGGGGACAACUCGGAGGAAGGUGGGGAUGACGUCAAGUCAGCAUGCCCCUUACGUCCUGGGCGACACACGUACUACAAUGGUUGGGACAAAGGGCAGCAAGCUCGCGAGAGUAAGCGAAUCUCAUCAAACCCAGCCACAGUUCAGAUUGCAGGCUGCAACUCGCCUGCAUGAAGUAGGAAUCGCUAGUAAUCGCAGGUCAGCAUACUGCGGUGAAUUCGUUCCCGGGCCUUGUACACACCGCCCGUCACACCAUGGAAGCUGGCUACGCCCGAAGUCGUUACCCUAACCCGGUUUUGGGAGGGGGAUGCCGAAGGUAGAGCUAGUGACUGGGGUGAAGUCGUAACAAGGUAGCCGUACCGGAAGGUGUGGCUGGAUCACCUCCUUU
rnacentral:rRNA from 1 species